AGAGUUUGAUCCUGGCUCAGGAUGAACGCUGGCGGCGUGCCUAAUACAUGCAAGUCGUGCGGCAGCGCGAGUAGUUUACUACUUGGCGGCGAGCGGCGGACGGCUGAGUAACGCGUGGGAACGUGCCCCAGAGUGAGGAAUAACUGCCCGAAAGGGUAGCUAAUGCCGCAUAUGCUCUUCGGAGUAAAGCUUUCGAGCGCUUUGGGAGCGGCCCGCGUCCGAUUAGGUUGUUGGUGAGGUAAUGGCUCACCAAGCCGACGAUCGGUAGCUGGUCUGAGAGGAUGAUCAGCCAGACUGGGACUGAGACACGGCCCAGACUCCUACGGGAGGCAGCAGUAAGGAAUCUUCCACAAUGGGGGCAACCCUGAUGGAGCAACGCCGCGUGCAGGAUGAAGGCCUUCGGGUUGUAAACUGCUUUUAUAAGUGAAGAAUAUGACGGUAACUUAUGAAUAAGGAUCGGCUAACUACGUGCCAGCAGCCGCGGUAAUAC
rnacentral:rRNA from 1 species